CCCGUUGGAGGGGGCAGUGGUCUUGGUCCUUUCCCAGGCAGUUGUUAAAGGACGCGCUGGUUUUGUCUGGCCCGCCGGGAAGCACUUAUUGGGCUCCUGUGAGGUGCCAGGCCCAGGCCUGUGCCACUGCCUGUCCUCCAACAGAGCCCCGCAAACCCCAAGUAGGGAGAAGGGAGUCGGGUCACUGGAGGGGAAACGGAGGCCCCGUGACGGUCGAGCGGAGGAGGUGCUGACGCAGAGGGACACGUGGCGGUUUUUGAUUUAAGUAAAACGACGGUGUGGUUUUAUGGGCGCUAACGUGAUACUUUCCUACUGGCUCUUUGGUUCCUGCUGGGCUGUCUCCGCACCCCUCCCUCGCCAGCCGUGCGCUCAGGGAUGCGCCCCUGCGCACGGCUGGCUGCCGGGCAGUGAGAUGCUGCGUGUCCUGUGAGCAGAGAAGCAGCGGGCACCGCCGGCGCUCGGAGAACCUGAAACUCGUCUUUCCCCCGGCUGCACCUGCAUCAGCACCGUCGUGACCUGACGCUGGUCUCAGCGGCCCUUCACCUGCUCUGCUCUCCUGCCAAGUAGCGGGGUUCCGCUGCGGAGGAGCGGCCACCUGCCACAGUGCCGGCCAGGAGCCAGCGCCCAGCCUUUCGUGGACGGUCCAAACCUCCCCGGUCUCUCCAAACCCAGUGUUUCAUCUCUUCCGUCUCUGAAGAUGACCUUAUCUUCUGUUUUGCUGGGACAAUAGAGACUAUUGUCACCUAUGCCCUACCCUCCGGGUGUCUGUAAGUACCUGCACCUGCGUGACUCUGGGCCUUUCUGCCACCACACAGGGUGUCCUGCUUCCUGUGUGGGGCUGGGCCCUGGACCCCUCAACCCACUCCAGGAAUGUGCCUCUUCCACUUACCUGCUCCUUCCCAUGGACUCCUUCCUCCCGAAAUAUAAAAGUGGUUAGAAAGAAAAAAUAGAAAGCCAAACUACCCCGAUAAGAUGACCUUGUGCGGUUCUGUGCUACCACUCGAUAGAGUGCAGAAAGGAUUCUAGAAAGAGAAGGUUCUAGAAAGAGCCUUCAGUUACUGGAUCUGCCACCUUCUCUUCAUGCAAUUUUGCUUGUUUUGUUUCUACCAAAAGGCGUUGAAGUGAUUAUGGACGGUAUGAGGAUGCGGUCUCACACAAUGAGCCUCACAUAACAGGCGGUCCUUCAUUCCUCUUCGUGGCAGGUGCAGCAUCUCUGUUGGGUCUUACAGAGUCUGAGUCCUUGCUCAUCCUCGUUCAUCUCUCCUUUUAACACAGGGCAGCCUCCUGCCCAGACCUUAGGUAGACAUAUUGUCUGGCUAAAAGGUAAUCCCUUUUUUGGUUUUCAUUGUAUUUAUUUUAUUAUUUCUUAAAACCACUUUAUUGAGGUAUGAGUGCCAUGUAAAGGAGCUGUACUUACUUAAUGUACUCAACUCAGUGAGUUUGGGGAUAAGAAUACACCCAUGAAACCAUCACCAUUAAGCUCAUAAACAUACCCAUCACCUCCCGAAGUACCCUCCUGCCCCCUUUGUUAGUAACGAUUCUUGUUUGUGUGGUAGGAACACUAUACAUAAGAUCAGCAAGUUUUACCAGUAUUGUCAGUGAUAGGCACUGUCCUGUCUAGUGGAUCUUCUGCAUAUCUGAACCUUUUUCCCCUUUGACCAGCAUCUCCCCAUUUCCCCCAACCCCCAGUCCCUGGCAACCACCAUUCUACUCUAUGAAUCUACGAAUUGGACUAUUUAAGAUUCCACAUGUGAGUGAGAUUAUAUAGUAUUUGUCUUUCUGUGUCUGGCUUGUUUUGUUCAGCAUAAUGCCCUCCGGGUCCACCCCUGUAGUCACUAAUGGCAGGACUUCCUUCUUUUAAAAGGCCGAAUCAUAGUCCGUUGUACUUAUAGACCACGCCAUUUUUAUCCACUCCUCCCUCGAUGCACAACUAGGUUGUUUCCACCCCGUGGCUGUUGGUGAAGAGUGCUGCAGUGAACAUGGGAGCCAAGUGAUCUCUCCAAGACCCUGACUUCAAGUUCUUUGGGUAAAUACCCAGGAGCGGGAUUGCUGGAGAACGUAUUAGUUCUAGUUUUCAUUUUUGGAGUGCCCUCCCUCUGUGAGCAGGACUGCUGAUGGAGACUGUAUGCCAGGCAGUAGGAUCUGUGGCCAGUUGGUAAGAUCCUUUGGUGCUAUGAGCUCCCCCCUCUACCGCCCCCUUUCCUCUGUUCCUAGCAGCCCCCAUAUAAUUCAGCUGUGCAGAUCUCCCCCAGACCCCUGAUGUUCUCGUCAGGACAAGACACAAGUGGGCAAUGUCCUGCAAAGCUGGGGAAGCUGUGGACCGGGCGAUCUCUCUUGCCUUGGGGGAGGGGUGAGGUGAUACUCUUACCUCUUCAGCGCAUCUCUCCUCUGGCUUUUUCGCUCCAACCGAGGGACUGGAACAUUUCAGGCGUGUUUCUGGGCUCUCCAAAACAUGUUCUUAUCUCUGGGUGGUUGUUAAAAUUGGUGUUUCUGUG